UUUUAUUGCGUUUGAAUACUACAGCAUGGAAUAACAAAAUUGAACAAGUCAGAAUUCUGUUCUUUUUUCUUAUUUUGGCUUAGUUACGAUUAAUAGGAGUAGCUUGGGGGCAUUUGUAUUCAGAUGUCAGAGGUGAAAUUCUUAGAUUUUCUGGAGACAAACAACUGCGAAAGCAUUUGCCUAAAAUACUUCCAUUAAUCAAGAACGAAAGUUAAGGGAGUGAAGACGAUCAGAUACCGUCGUAAUCUUAACCAUAAACUAUGCCAACUAGGUUUUGGAUGAAAAAUUUUUAAAUAAGAGAAUUCCUUUCGGGGAAAUUUCUUAGAUUGCUUCUUUCAGUACCUUAUGAGAAAUCAAAGUCUUUGGGUUCUGGGGCGAGUAUUCGCGCAAGCGAGAAAGUUAAAAGAAUUGACGGAAGGGCACCACCAGGCGUGGAGCUUGCGGCUUAAUUUGACUCAACACGGGGAAACUCACUAGUUUAAGACAAGAGUAGGAUUGACAGAUUAAUAGCUCUUUCUUGAUUUCUUGGAUGGUGAUGCAUGGCCGUUUUUAGUUCGUGAAUAUGAUUUGUCUGGUUAAUUCCGAUAACGAACGAGAUCUUAACCUGCUAAUUAGCGGCGAAUACGUUAUAUUCUUAUGUGAAAUUGAAUAUAGCUGAA
rnacentral:rRNA from 1 species